rnacentral:misc_RNA from 1 species
GCGGAGGGACAUUACCGAGUUUACAACUCCCAAACCCAAUGUGAACGUUACCAAACUGUUGCCUCGGCGGGAUCUCUGCCCCGGGCGCGUCGCAGCCCCGGACCAAGGCGCCCGCCGGAGGACCAACCAAAACUCUUAUUGUAUACCCCCUCGCGGGUUUUUUACUAUCUGAGCCAUCUCGGCGCCCCUCGUGGGCGUUUCGAAAAUGAAUCAAAACUUUCAACAACGGAUCUCUUGGUUCUGGCAUCGAUGAAGAACGCAGCGAAAUGCGAUAAGUAAUGUGAAUUGCAGAAUUCAGUGAAUCAUCGAAUCUUUGAACGCACAUUGCGCCCGCCAGUAUUCUGGCGGGCAUGCCUGUCCGAGCGUCAUUUCAACCCUCGAACCCCUCCGGGGGGUCGGCGUUGGGGAUCGGCCCUUCACGGGGCCGGCCCCGAAAUACAGUGGCGGUCUCGCCGCAGCCUCUCCUGCGCAGUAGUUUGCACACUCGCAUCGGGAGCGCGGCGCGUCCACAGCCGUUAAACACCCCAAACUUCUGAAAUGUUGACCUCGGAUCAGGUAGGAAUACCCGCUGAACUUAA